UGAGCUGCUGGGUUCUUUGCUCUCUCCCUCUUCCUCUCCUCCUGUGAGAACUGUGAGCACAGGGGAGAGGCUCUGUCAGCUUCUGGAAGGGAUGAGCUUUGCAUCAUCAUAAGAAGACAAGCUCCAGCACCCUCUGACAUCCCGUCACUCACAAAAAAAAUAUAAGAAUUAGAAACACUGCUAUUGCUUUCCCAUUGAGCUGUGUUUCCCCUCCCUUUCUGUGUUUGUUUUUUAAUGUUCACAACCUAUUUUCUUAUUCAUCCUUUUACCGUUUCCUCCUUUCCUUUGUCCCUGACAUUUUCAUUCAUGUCUGUGUUCUCUCUCUUUCUCCCAAGGGCUCUGUGAUUUAGGUUAUCAACAUCCUGGCAGCCAUCUCGUGAGGAUGCUGUUGUUUACUGCAACAUUUAAUAUAUCAUUUAUUAAUGGAAUAUUUAGACACUAUGUUCCCUGGAUAUGAUGAAAGAGAAAGCAGUGGGAGGAGGGGAAAGAAAGGUCCAGAUGAAGAAAAGUGAGGGGCCUUGGGCAUUGGUGCACCUUGGUCUAGUCUCCCGUGGUCCAAGAGUGAUUGCUGCUGGAAUACUGUGUCCAACUCUGGUGCCCACAAUUCAAGAAGGAUGUUGAUAAAUUGGAGCAGGUUCAGAGAAGAGCCAUCAAGAUGUGUAAAGCACGAGAAAACAUGCCUUUAGAAAUAGAUUCGAAGAGCUCUCUCUCUAUUUAGCUUAACAAACAGAAGCUUAGGAUCACAGUCUAUAAGUACGGACAUGGAGAAUUAAUAUUUGAUAAUGGGCUCUUCAAUCUAGCAGUGAAAGGUAUAAUAUAAUCCAAUGGCUGGAAGUUGAUGCUAGACAAUUUCAAACUGGAAAUAAGGCAUAAAAAAUUAACAGUGAGGGUAGUUAAUCCCUGGAACAAUUUACCAAAGGUUGUGGUGGAUUCUCCAUCACUGGCAAUGUUUAAAUAAAAACUGGAUAUUUUUCUAAAAGAUCUGCUCUAGUUCAAACAAGAAUUAUUGUGGGGAAGUUCUAUGGUCUGUUUUGUACAGGGGAGAAGAGCAGAUGAUCACUGUUAUCCCUUCUGACGUUGGAAUCUAUGAAUCUAGUUGAAACUACAGCUCACAAAAAGGAACUGCCCGGGAAUCUUUUCUGUUUUUUAAAUCUUUUGAUUGUAUUAUGUAAGUAAAACAUAAUCAGAGCAGUCUCAUGGGUGGAAUAGACUAUUCAGGUCACAAUUAAAAGGUUAUUCUGAUUUAACAGAAAUGAUCUGUCCCAACAGUAUCCCCAAUUUUAAGUAUAGAUGGUACAGAGCCUCAGUUGGUGCAGUUGGAAUGAUGGCAGUUUACAUGAGCUGAGAUUCUGUUCCACUGACUCUCUUACUGGAAGCAACUUUCAAAUGGAAUAAACUUUUCACGUGUGAGUUCUGUAAGUGAAACUUGUUGUGAAGUUAAUAUCAAAAGGCCAGGACCACAGUUUUUAGUGUCUUCUGAAUGAUGUUUUAUUCUGAACAUUAAAAUUGAAUCAGAGCAUGUGAACUAUAAAUAUUGUUCUAUAACAUAUUUAAAUCUUCCAGAAGAGAUAACUGGUAACUCAUGCACUGUAUGUUUUACUACCACCCAUAAGACAUAUUAUGCAAAGCAACUAGCAGUUCAGUCUUGACCUACAUUGUAACUAUUAUAUUUUUAUUUUGAGGAUUAUUACUGUGAUUGCUAGAGUCCUUGGGUUCCUAUCUAUUGUGGUUAUUGUGGUUAUGUAUUGUACAAACAGUCUAGUUUAGGACAAGAUGUGAAAAGGGAGUGUCAUAAAAAUAAAGGGAAGGGUAACCACCUUUCUGUAUACAGUGCUAUAAAAUCCCUCCUGGCCAGAGGCAAAACCCUUUCACCUGUAAAGGGUUAAGAAGCUAAGAUAACCUCGCUGGCACCUCACCAAAAUGACCAAUGAGGAGACAAGAUACUUUCAGAUUGGGAGGUGGGGGGAAACAAAGGGUCUGUCUGUCUGUGUGAUGCUUUUGCCUGGGAACAGAUCAGGAAUGCAGUCUCAGAACUUCUGUUAGUUAGUAAGUAAUCUAGCUAGAAAUGUGUUAGAUUUCCUUUUGUUUAAUGGCUGGUAAAAUAAGCUGUGCUGAAUGGAAUGUAUAUAUCUGUUUUUGUGUCUUUUUGUAACUUAAGGUUUUACCUAGAGGGAUUCUCUAUGUUUUGAAUCUGAUUACCCUGUAAGGUAUUUACCAUCCUGAUUUUACAGAGGUGAUUCUUUUACCUUUUCUUUAAUUAAAAUUCUUCUUUUAAAAA